rnacentral:rRNA from 1 species
AACAAACGCUGGCGGCGUGUCUUAAGCAUGCAAGUUGAGCGGCAAGGAGGAGAGAUCCUCCCUAGAGCGGCGGACUGGUGAGUAACGCGUGGGUAAUCUAUCGUAGGCAUGGGGAUAGUCACUAGAAAUAGUGGGUAAUACCGAAUACGUUCCAUGAGGGGAGUACUUAUGGAAGAAAGGGUGCUAUGGCACUGGCCUUAGGUGAGCUCGCGUCCCAUUAGCUAGUUGGUGAGGUAAAGGCCCACCAAGGCGAUGAUGGGUAGCCGGCCUGAGAGGGUGACCGGCCACACUGGGACUGAGACACGGCCCAGACUCCUACGGGGGGCAGCAGUGGGGGAUCUUGCACAAUGGGCGAAAGCCUGAUGCAGCGACGCCGCGUGAGCGAAGAAGGCCUUCGGUUGUAAGUACUCUGUCUGGUAGGGACGGAACGAAAAUAAGAACGGUACCGUACCGGUACGGGAACGGACCCGAACCGGGACCGUAACCGUUAACCGGUUACGGUACCCGAACGGACCGACGGACCCCGGACCGGGGUAAACGGGUAAACGUUACCGUAACCGGUUUAC